rnacentral:rRNA from 1 species
UACGUAGGGUGCAAGCGUUGUCCGGAUUUACUGGGCGUAAAGAGCGCGCAGGCGGUCAGAUAAGUCGAAUGUGAAAGCCCCCGGCUCAACUGGGGAGGGUCAUUCGAUACUGUUCGACUCGAAGGCAGGAGAGGGAAGUGGAAUUCCCGGUGUAGUGGUGAAAUGCGGAGAGAUGGGGGAGAACACUCGUGGCGAAGGCGGCCAGCUAGACCAGUUCUGACACUGAGGCGCGACAGCGUGGGGAGCAAACAGG